AGCUCGUAGUUGAACCUCGGGAUCAAUGGGUCGGUCAUGCCAAUGGUAUGUACUGGCCUCAUUGGUUCUCACCUUCUAAGGAACCAUGAUGUCAUUCAUUUGAUGUUGUGGGGAAUUAGGACUGUUACCUUGAAAAAAUUAGAGUGUUUAAAGCAGGCUAACGCUUGAAUACAUUAGCAUGGAAUAAUGAAAUAGGACAUCGCAUUCUAUUUUGUUGGUUUCUAGGAUCGAUGUAAUGAUUAAUAGGGAUAGUUGGGGGCAUUAGUAUUCAAUUGUCAGAGGUGAAAUUCUUGGAUUUAUUGAAGACUAACUACUGCGAAAGCAUUUGCCAAGGAUGUUUUCAUUAAUCAAGAACGAAAGUUAGGGGAUCGAAGACGAUCAGAUACCGUCGUAGUCUUAACCAUAAACUAUGCCGACUAGGGAUCGGAUGAUGUUGAUUUUUUAAUGACUCAUUCGGCACCUUAC
rnacentral:rRNA from 1 species